rnacentral:rRNA from 1 species
GAUGAACGCUGGCGGCGUGCCUAAUACAUGCAAGUCGAGCGAACAGAUGAGGAGCUUGCUCCUCUGACGUUAGCGGCGGACGGGUGAGUAACACGUGGAUAACCUACCUAUAAGACUGGGAUAACUUCGGGAAACCGGAGCUAAUACCGGAUAAUAUAUUGAACCGCAUGGUUCAAUAGUGAAAGACGGUUUUGCUGUCACUUAUAGAUUGAUCCGCGCCGCAUUAGCUAGUUGGUAAGGUAACGGCUUACCAAGGCGACGAUGCGUAGCCGACCUGAGAGGGUGAUCGGCCACACUGGAACUGAGACACGGUCCAGACUACUACGGGAGGCAGCAGUAGGGAAUCUUCCGCAAUGGGCGAAAGCCUGACGGAGCAACGCCGCGUGAGUGAUGAAGGUCUUCGGAUCGUAAAACUCUGUUAUUAGGGAAGAACAAAUGUGUAAGUAACUAUGCACGUCUUGACGGUACCUAAUCAGAAAGCCACGGCUAGCUCCGUG